UCUAGAACCAGACUCAAGUCUUUAGCAUCAAUCCCAUAAUGGUAAUCAGUGCUUUCCAAUGCCUUAAAUUUCUCUUUUAGCCAUCUGCAUUGGUCUUCAAGUUGCUUGGGAGCUCCACUCUUGCGUUUUCUAUUUCUGCUACAUAAUCAAGAUCGGAGACAACGUGAUUUGCUGGAUUGACUCCUAGGUUAGAGCCUGAACCUGUCGGAAAGCUUGUUGGUGCUGAGGUACCUGUCUAAUAUUUGGGCUGUU
rnacentral:lncRNA from 1 species